AAAAGUCGCGUUUAAUAUAAUUUUAUAGAUUCGUUUACCAAAUUAUAUUUCUUGUUUUUAAUAUAAUUUGUGUAUAACGUUAUAUUAUAUGUAAAAUAUAAUGUCAUUUACUUGAUUGGAUUUUAUAAUAAAGUAUAAUUAGAUUUAAUGCGAUAUACAACAAGAAAAAUGUAGUUUAAUAGAAAAAAUUAUACGUUUCGUUUAAGAAAAUUGACAUUCAUACGUAAAUACAUUUAUACAUAAAGUUUAAUAAUAUUUCUGGUAUUCAGGAAAUAUAUAUGAUAAUUAAUGUGUCAAUAAUAUGUUAUUUUAUACAAAAUAAAAUGUUGUUUACGUACUCAUUAUUGCAAAUACACAAAAUCGUCUACAUGUAUCAAAGUAUCUGAUAUUAUGUUCUGAUUUAAUCAUGGGAGGGGUUCGAGACGGUAAACACAAAACAUCCUAAUGAUUAUUUUUUCAGACACGUAUAAGUAGAUUAGAUACAAUAUACAAAAAAGAAUAAUAAAGUUUAAUAGAAAAAAUAUAUAACUAUGAUAAUUUUAGUUUGAUCUUUAUAUGUAAAUUUGCUUAUACUUGAAGUUUAACUAAGUUUGAUUUGCAUUAAAUAUACGUGAUAAUUAAUGUGCCAUUAAUGCAUCUUUCAUUUAGAAUAAAAUAUUGUUUAUACACUGAUACAAACAGACAAAAUAUUAUAAAGCAUCCAAUAUUAUUAUAUACUGCAGCUCUGAACUUACAUAUGUACGUGGAAGGGGUUUGGGACCAAAAAAACCCACUAAAUUAAUCACUUCAAGGAAAUAUUUGAUUUGUAGUUAAAAAAACAAAAAACAACUCACAAAGCAAAUAAAAAAUAUUUGACUAUAACAAUUGAUUUAGGAUGAGAGAGAGAGAGAGAGAGAGAGAGAGAGAGAGAGAGAGAGAGAGAGAGAGAGAGAGAGAGAGAUUAACCUCAACGCGCAUGCGAAUCAAAUUAAGCCAAUCAAAAAUCGAGAGAAUUCUGAACCCGCCAAGCUGCGUUGGAGAUAACAUGUCGGAUUCGAGUGAAGUAGCGAAGUAGAUCUAUCAGAAUUUAGUGCUCUUGGACUGAUGAAUCAUCGACGAAAUCUUUAGGAAAACAUCCAUUGUCAAGACUAUUGUCAAGUGCCGAAAGGGAAGAAAAAGUCACCACCAUGUCAAGCAGGUAAAGCGCUCGUGAGAAACAAGAUGGCGAAACAGUCCGACAACGUCAGUCCUUUGCCUCAACUUCUGUUCUUACAUGUAGCAGCACCUUGGAGAUAGAUUCGCCGGCCAGUAGUACCAGUUGUUUAAUAGGACCAGCAUCGUGGCCUCUUUUCAAGUUGAGAAAGAUUGAGUUUCAGCAGGAAAAAAUCUUGGAGGGGCAGAAGGAAAUAAUCGCUAAAUACUCUCUGAAAGUAAUCCAUCGCAAAAGAAAGGAAAUAAGAAAGUUAAAAUAUGUGUACCCAGCCAAGUACAUAUUGCUGUGCAUGAUGGAUACUCCCAUGGAAUUUCCCUAGGAUUGUAGUGAAAAAUGAAAUCCGAUGAUGGAAACCAAAUAUUGAAAUGCAAUAAACAGAUAUUUCCUGUCUAUGCAAGAUAAAGGAAGGAGAGAGUCGAUUCUUUCAAGAAAGGAAUGGAUCUGUAUCAAAGGAAACAAGGAAAAUGGAAGUUAUACUAUAGACAGGCUGUCAGGCUGUAUUUAAACAAAAGACCUCCUGGGAUGAGGAGAAAAAGAAACAAAUAGAACCUGUAUUUCUUGUCGAGUACUUGAUGAUGUCAUCAGAAUAUGAAAAUGAUUGGGAAGAUGACACAAUAUAUGAAAUCACAUCUCUAAAGUGGCGCUCUGACGAAUGUUUAAUUGGACACCAAAAGUUCUGCUCUGAAAUCCAAAUGUUCAAAAAGGCAAAGUAUAAGACGUAUAAGGACCAACAAUGAAUCAUCUAGAGACAAACCAGAAAAUAUAUCAAAUGAACAGAAAUGGGCCAUUUGAGAUUUUUAAAAAAGUUGCUACUGUCAUGUAUAAUUAGCUCACCUGAGCUGAAAGUUAUUAUAUGGUUUUACUGAUAUGCAAGCAUUUUGACAUAUACAUUGUUGAUUGUAUAAAAUUGUUAACUCCGUCCCAUGGACAAUUUUUGUUCCUCACAAGAGGUUCAUAUUUUGAUGUAGGUUUAUUAUCCAUGUAUAAAGAGUUGUUUAACACUUCUUGAGAACUGCAAAGCUCAAUAUGUGAUAUGACUGUAAAAUCAUUGCAAAAUAGCUUGAUUUAUUGUUGUAGUAUGAUGAACCUAAAAAUAUGCUGGGUAUUUUUUUAAAAACAGGAUCUGAUAUUACUUGUUCAACUCAUACUGUUAUAUAAAAGAAUAUUCAUUGUGUAUUUUUUCAUUGUUGAAUAUUUUUUUUAUGCAGAUCAAUUACAGAUUAAAUUUGGCCAUUAUGAUUUUCAAUUUUUGUCAUAUUGGCAUGUAACCAAGUCAUACUUUUUUUAUCUCAAUUUAUUUACAAAUAUGUUUAAGUUUAUUUCCAGUAAUUAGUGAAUACAUCUUUAUAGCAUAAUAGAACUGAAGACAAUAGGAGGUUAUUUAUUUUUAAAGGGAGCUCUGUUGGCAAUUAGUUGCAGAUCUUGAUACCCAAGUAAGAGAAAGGUGGCGUCUCUGACCAAUCCUUUUGCUCUUGCUUGUGGGCGAGUGAGGCUUCCCUGUCAAAGGCUUGUAUAAGUUUAAAAGUCAAUGAUCAAAUUAUAAACUAUACACAUAUAUGAGUGAUAUAAAGUGUUUAUUUUAAUGAAUAUUUUAUCAUAAUUUGUUUCUUUUGUUCUAAGUAAAGAGUUAAAGACUAGAUUUUUGAUAAUUUUUUGAGUAAAGAGUAGUUUUUAUGGACAUCUAGGCAGUUAUACAGGACUUUUUGUAUGUAUAUCUUUCAGAGCUUGUUCCUGAAACUCUGGCGUAGACUAGAAAAUUUACGGACAAAAUACAAUUUUUAUCUCAAGUUAUUUUAAUCUACAUAUUUGUACAAGUUUCACUUAUAUAAUUAAUUAGCUCUAUAGUAAACAAAAUUUGUUGUUAAAAAUAUACAGGAGAUAAUGCAAGAGUAUUUUGAAAGGGCUUUGCUGGCAGUAAGUUGCAGAUCUUGAUACCCAAGUAAGAGAAAGGUGGUGUCUCUGACCGAUCCUUUUGCUCUUGCUUGUGGGCGAGUGAGGCUUCCCUGUCAGUUUCUUACAGAUGCAAGGAAUAAACCAACAAGACUUGAUAAGACAUUUCUGAGUGAAAUAAUGGGGAACUGUUUCCUUUUUAUGAUAAGUAAGAUUGAGUUGAAUAUUUAUAGUGUCAUAACUAUAUUUUACAUUCUGUACAUGCAUAUGCCAGGUCUUAUUUCAGACCUUAUUAAGAUAGACUAGAAGAAUUUUUAUUGAAAGUGAAUUUUAAGCAGGAGACAAUGAAAGAGUAUUUUGAAAGGGCUUUGCUGGCAGUAAGUUGCAGAUCUUGAUACCCAAGUAAGAGAAAGGUGGUGUCUCUGACCGAUCCUUUUGCUCUUGCUUGUGGGCGAGUGAGGCUUCCCUGUCAGUUUCUUACAGAUGCAAGAAAUAAACAGGACUUGAUAAGACAUUUCUGAGUAAAAUAUUGGGGAAACUGUUUUCUUUUUAUGAUAAGUAAGAUUGAGUUGAAUUUUUAUAGUGUCAUAACUUUUUUAAAUUUUGUACAUGCAUAUGCUUGAUCUUAUUCCAGACCUUAUUAGGAUAGACUAGAAGAAUUUUAUUGAAUUUCCAUGAUUUAAAUUUACCAUUUCGCCAAAUUUUGAUAAUCAAUUAUUGUUUGCAUUGGAAGUUUGUGUAAAUUAAAAUUACUUUAUGUAUGUUCCAAAAUGUUAACUGAAUAGUCUGGUCAUUAGAAUAUGUAUUUUUCUUUUCUGUAUAAUAAAUUUUCAAUAUUAUAAUGUAAAACCUAAGGAAUUUUAUUUAAAAUCACAUGAAGUGUUUAAAAUUAGAGAUUAGAGAUGCACAUGUACAUCCUAUUAUUGAACAAUUUGUUCAUUCAAUUUAGUAUAAUUUGGUAUUUGUAUGCAUCAUAUAUAUAAAUAUAUAGGGUUUUUUCAAGGCUAUUACAUAUAAUAUGAUUGUUAAUAUAUAUCUUCUCUGAAGUGGUUUUCAUGGAAACUGUUAUCUAUUUGCAGUUAUGAACUAUAGAGUAUGUAUGUAGUAUGUAUGUUUCUAUGAAAACAUGCUAUUUUCAAAAUACACGUACUAGGAAAGAGAAUUUGUGUGUGUGUGUGUGUGUGUGUGUGUGUG